GAUGAACGCUGGCGGCGUGCCUAAUACAUGCAAGUCGAGCGAAUGGAUUAAGAGCUUGCUCUUAUGAAGUUAGCGGCGGACGGGUGAGUAACACGUGGGUAACCUGCCCAUAAGACUGGGAUAACUCCGGGAAACCGGGGCUAAUACCGGAUAGCAUUUUGAACCGCAUGGUUCGAAAUUGAAAGGCGGCUUCGGCUGUCACUUAUGGAUGGACCCGCGUCGCAUUAGCUAGUUGGUGAGGUAACGGCUCACCAAGGCAACGAUGCGUAGCCGCCCUGGGAGGGUGAUCGGCCACACUGGGACUGACACACGGCCCAGACUCCUACGGGAGGCAGCAGUAGGGAAUCUUCCGGAGUGGACGAGAGUCUGACGUAGCAACGCCGCGUGAGUGAUGAAGGCUUUCGGGUCGUAAAACUCUGUUGUUAGGGAAGAACAAGUGCUAGUUGAAUAAGCUGGCACCUUGACGGUACCUAACCAGAAAGCCACGGCUAACUACGUGCCAGCCGCCGCAGUAA
rnacentral:rRNA from 1 species